rnacentral:rRNA from 1 species
GACGAUCAGUAGCCGACCUGAGAGGGUGAUCGGCCACAUUGGAACUGAGACACGGUCCACACUCCUACGGGAGGCAGCAGUGGGGAAUAUUGCACAAUGGGCGAACGCCUGAUGCAGCAACGCCGCGGGAGUGAUGAAGGCCUUCGGGUCGUAAAACUCUGUCCUCAAGGAAGAUAAUGACGGUACUUGAGGAGGAAGCCCCGGCUAACUACGUGCCAGCAGCCGCGGUAAUACGUAGGGGGCUAGCGUUAUCCGGAUUUACUGGGCGUAAAGGGUGCGUAGG